GUUCUGAAACCACAUUGCAUUCAGCGCAUUCAGCAGUGUGUAACCAAGAUGCGUCCGGAAAAUACUUGUAUAAGUAAAUACAGAGAAUUUGUUUAAAACAUUUUUUUUUUUUUUUUUUUUACCAGACAACGUGUACGGAGUGCUAUGCAGCAGUGAGAACAGUGUCGAGAAGCACCUGGAGAUGGGGAAGAAGCUCCUGGCUGCCGGACAGCUGGCCGACGCACUUUCCCAUUUCCACGCAGCUGUUGGAUAGCCCAGAAGAAGCUCAUUAAAGCCUACAGGAAGUUGUCACAGCAGUGACACCCAGACAACUUCCAGGAUCCUGAAGAGAAGAACAAGGCUGAGAAGAAGUUCAUAGACAUCGCACAGGCCAAGGAAGUGCUCACUGAGCCAGAAACGAGGAGUUCAUUUGACAAGGGUGAAGACCCCCUGGACCCUGGGAGCAAGCACGGAGAAGGCCAUCACCACUUCCAUGGGGCCUGGGAGAGUUUCCAGGGCUUUAACCCUUUUGGCUCUGGACUGUUCAACUUUAAAUUCAACUUUAACUGAGAUCAUCCAGGAGGACAUCAGUCUGAUCUGAAUAUAUACCAUCAGGCAUCCAGCGAGAAGUGUAACCUGCUGAACCUAUUUGACACUAACUGCCAUAGAUGUGGCUACAGAAGCCACUGUGGCAUGAAGAUUCAUCGCAUGCUGUUGAAUAUUCUCAGACUUGCCAAGCUGAGCUAAGUGGUAUUACAUAAAGUAAUUAUUUCAGGGACCAUCAGAGUGUGGGGGUUCAUUCCCAAGCAACCAACUAUCCUAAAACUAUUGUGUGUGUGUGUGUGUGUGUGUGUGUGUGUGUGUGUGUGUGUGUGUGUGUGUGUGUGUGUGUGUGUGUGUGUGUGUAUAUAGAGGAGACUGCACUAUUUUUCUAUCAAUGAAAUAAUGCUGCAUUGUAAAUACACAAUUAAAGAUAUUACGUAUUUAAUUAAAAAGAAAGUGACAUUAUUCUCAGAUUUCGCUGUUGUAAUGCAAAUCACUAUUGGAGGAUUCCUUUAGUUGAACUUUUCAUUUUGUAUAGCACUUACAGACAUCGUCACAAAGCAUCUGGACUGACAGAUGUAGAUUUAGAUCCCUAUCGAGCAAGCUGGAGGUGAAAAACUCCCCGAGACAUCAUGAAGAAGAAACCUAAGAGAGGAAGCAAACUCAAAAGGGUCCUGUUGACACUGGAUAGUGGGAUUACAAAUCAUUACCAGUAUGCAGAUGUAAUAGAGGAAAAGGCAAACAAAUGUGUUCGUGUCAACAUCCUAGGAUGAGUACAGCAGCAGUUUUUAGCAAGCACAAAUCUGCACUAUCAAGUGUUUUCUGGUUUCUAGCUUAUUGUGAAAUCAGACUACUGAUUAUACCUUGCUCUUGAAGCUAGCCCUUUGUGCACAAAAAUGUAAAUAAUAAAGAGUAGGUAGAACAGGUAGAGUCACUAUCAUCAGGGAGAGCAGAUUAAUAUCUGUACACAUUGAUGCAGUAACAUAACUCCAGACAUAGCAGACGACCACUGAUGAAUGAUAAACAUUUUAUUCCUGAGAAAAUUCACAUCCUUCCACUUCCAAGCUUAAAAAGAAAAGAAAAAUAGAAGAAGAAAAAACCCAGGUCAGCAUGGAGUGUCACAAACACAGCAUGGCUUUUUCACUUUAAAGGGCUUGAAAUCAAAUGGAAACACAGGAAUAAUUCAUGAUGUGGAUAAAUAAAUUGAACAUCUUGUGCAUGUGUUGGGGUUACUUUUACACAUGUUCCCCCACUCUGACAUCCUCUCUGAUUUGUUCAAUCAUAUUGUAAUGAUUUUCAAUUUCCUCUUCACUGUAAUGGAGGAAUAACAAGUUACACAUGAUACAAAAAUCAUGUAC